rnacentral:rRNA from 1 species
AACGCGAAGAACCUUACCUGGCCUUGACAUGUCGAGAAUCCCGAAGAGAUUUGGGAGUGCCGCAAGGAACUCGAACACAGGUGCUGCAUGGCUGUCGUCAGCUCGUGUCGUGAGAUGUUGGGUUAAGUCCCGCAACGAGCGCAACCCUUGUCCUUAGUUGCCAGCAUUUAGUUGGGCACUCUAAGGAGACCGCCGGUGACAAACCGGAGGAAGGUGGGGAUGACGUCAAGUCAUCAUGGCCUUUAUGGCCAGGGCUACACACGUGCUACAAUGGUAAGUACAGAGGGAAGCCAAGUCGCGAGACGGAGCCAAUCCCAGAAAACUUAUCGUAGUCCGGAUCGGAGUCUGCAACUCGACUCCGUGAAGUCGGAAUCGCUAGUAAUCGCAGAUCAGCAUUGCUGCGGUGAAUACGUUCCCGGGUCUUGUACACACCG